rnacentral:rRNA from 1 species
UGGGGAAUUUUGGACAAUGGGGGAAACCCUGAUCCAGCCAUCCCGCGUGUGCGAUGAAGGCCUUCGGGUUGUAAAGCACUUUUGGCAGGAAAGAAACGUCAUGGGUUAAUACCCCGUGAAACUGACGGUACCUGCAGAAUAAGCACCGGCUAACUACGUGCCAGCAGCCGCGGUAAUACGUAAGGUGCAAGCGUUAAUCGGAAUUACUGGGCGUAAAGCGUGCGCAGGCGGUUCGGAAAGAAAGAUGUGAAAUCCCAGAGCUCAACUUUGGAACUGCAUUUUUAACUACCGGGCUAGAGUGUGUCAGAGGGAGAUGGAAUUCCGCGUGUAGCAGUGAAAUGCGUAGAUAUGCGGAGGAACACCGAUGGCGAAGGCAGCCUCCUGGGAUAACACUGACGCUCAUGCACGAAAGCGUGGGGAGCAAACAGG